UACGUAGGAGGCAAGCGUUGUCCGGAAUUACUGGGCGUAAAGCGCGUGUAGGUGGUGGGACAAGUCUGCUGUGAAAGCGCCUGGCUUAACCGGGCGAGGUCGGCGGAAACUGUCCGACUCGAGGACGGUAGAGGGGGGUGGAAUUCCCGGUGUAGUGGUGAAAUGCGUUGAUAUCCUAAGGAACACCGGUGGCGAAAGCGGCUCACUGGAUCUCUUCUGACGCUGAGGCACGAAAGCUAGGGGAGCGAACGGG
rnacentral:rRNA from 1 species